rnacentral:tRNA from 1 species
GCGAGUAUGGUAUAAUGGAAUUAUCUCUACCUUCCAAGUAGAUGACGUCGGGUUCGAUUCCCACUACUCGUA